rnacentral:rRNA from 1 species
UACGAAGGGGGCGAGCGUUGUUCGGAUUUACUGGGCGUAAAGGGCGCGCAGGCGGCUCAUUUUGUCAGGCGUGAAAGCCCCGGGCUUAACCUGGGAACUGCGUUUGAUACGGGUGGGCUAGAGUUCGGGAGAGGAGAGUGGAAUUCCCAGUGUAGAGGUGAAAUUCGUAGAUAUUGGGAAGAACACCGGUGGCGAAGGCGGCUCUCUGGACCGAUACUGACGCUGAGGCACGAAAGCGUGGGGAGCAAACAGGG